AUGAACGCUGGCGGCGUGCUUAAUACAUGCAAGUCGAACGGAGAUAGUAGCAAUAUUAUCUUAGUGGCGAACGGGUGAGUAACGCGUUGGUGACCUGCCCCGAAGAGAGGGAUAGCAGUUCGAAAGGACUGAUAAUACCUCAUGUGGUUGUCGGUUUUAGAAUCUGAUAACUAAACGGAUUUAUUCGCUUCGGGAGGGGCCUGCGUCCCAUCAGCUAGUUGGUAGGGUAAUGGCCUACCAAGGCUAUGACGGGUAGGGGACCUGAGAGGGUGGCCCCCCACAAUGGAACUGAAACACGGUCCAUACACCUACGGGUGGCAGCAGUAGGGAAUAUUAGUAAUGGGCGAAAGCCUGAACUAGCGACACCGCGUGUGCGAAGAAGGCCUUCGGGUUGUAAAGCACUUUUAGAGAGGAUGAGGAAGGACGGUACUCUCUGAAUAAGUCUCGGCUAACUACGU
rnacentral:rRNA from 1 species